UGGGGCUUUGUUUGGGACACCUUUGUGUCCGUAGUUUCUUUGUUCCCCUUGAAAAACACAGCUGAGUUUAUACUGCUGCGCCCACUCCUUUUCCUACAAAAGGAAUCCUAUCCCUAUGCUUCUGACGCAUUUAAUUUGUUAGCUGAUGGGCUGCUUUAAUUGUAGUCAAAGGAGAUUCACAUGAAUACUGCAGAAAGGUGGGAAUGGUGAGAAUACUUUUUUCUACUUGCAAGUAAGCUAGCAUUCAUUUUACUGAUGAUCUUUAAUUUCCAGGGGUAAGAGAUGCUACCAUUUGUUCUGUGUUUAUGAAGCACUGGAGACAUAACAGAGUGUUCAGGCUCCUGAAGUUGAAUGGCAGCUGUGGGUAUCUCUUGGACCUGAGCCACCAGAGCAGGAGAGAUGCCCAUAGGAGGGAACAGAACUAGCAGAGUUGAGCAUUCAACCAUUUUCCCUUCAUUUUAUGCACCAGGGAGAGGAAGAACUGAGAGGCAGAGAGAACGUGGGACCACAACUCUCAUUUCCAGAGCUCUUUCUCAGUGAGUGCUGCUGGCAGUGUAAUGUGGGCAGGGUCUAUGUUAGAGGAGAAAAGCAAAGCUGUGCCCUAGUCCAUCACCAGUAGAUGAAAGUGUGGCUCCUGCUUCUGGACACUGGCACUCUUUUCGGUGUCUGGGCCAUGGUGAGAGCCCUUUUUGUACUACCCUGGCCCUGGUUCAGGCUAUAAUGCUGUUCUAGCCACUGUUUGAGCUCUGCUGCAUUCAUACAUGCUCCUGCAGGGUACACAAUCUUGAUAAAGGUAUCCCGUGCUGCAGAAAGCAGUUACUUUCAUUCAUAAUUUUCUUUAAUUAAUGACUGUCACGAUGAAGAUUUGUACUUUCUUUUUGAUUUUCCCUGGCAUUGGCUCACAUCAAGUAAUUCAAGUUAUGCCUUUCCUUGCUAGGUUGAAGAGCACUUCAGGAAAUCCUUGUUUCUCUUCAGGGGGGAGCUUGUACAUUGUAAUCCCAUCACCCUUCAGUCUUCAUUUUCACACUCACUAAACAUUGUUCUCCUUAUCUCUUGCAAGAGCAAGGUCUUCCUGAGAGAGUGGGCUCCAUUAUGUUCAGGAGCAGAAUGAAAAUGAAAUCAUCAUUAGUCGGAUUGAUUCGGUGUCUGAAUACACAUUGUACCAUGAGGAUCCUCUUACCCUGAGCCAAAGUCUGUCAAAGUCAAUUCCAACAGCUGAUGAGGCCCUUCAGGAUAGGUCAGUUUUUUCCUUGAAAUCCCAUCAUGGCAACUUCUGCAUUUGAUGAGUAUUACCAGCACAGAUAGACGCACCAUGGAGGGAAUCCCAGCCACACAGAAAAAAUCACUACCUUCUCUCAGCAUUCAGAAGCACAGUGAGUUAAACUGCUGUAUGCUUGAGCUGGUGGGAUCACCAUCGUCUGCAAUAAAGUACCCAGGUUCCAACUGAAAAACAGAAGAGCAGACUCUCCUUGGCCAGAAGUCAAUGCUGAGAUCUCUGUGCGUACUUCUUCAGCAUGAUGGACAGAUAACAGAAUGAAGACUCCGCAAGAUCAUCAGUUCAACAGUCCCAGCUUGUGAUAAGGCAUGAGGCGUCUGUGCAGUCUCUUACUCAGCAUCUUUCAGUCUAAUGAAGGCCCACGUAAUGGCUGAGAGACAGCCCUCCCUCCUGCCAGGUCAGGAUUUCUGAGAUUCCUGGUACAGCCAAAGGUGGUGAACUGACAGAAAUGCUUUGGAUGCUCUUUACAGGUAUUCAGCACAACAGGAAUUUUCUGAUUUAAGCAAAAGGAAGAGUGGAUCUGCCUUACUGCAAAAGCUCUGCCAAUCAGCAUGGAAAAAGCAGAGUCCAGGAGUAAAUACUAUAAGAAAGCAUGUCGUGGCUUCAUGUACGCAAGACACUUCAGCAAUGCUAUAAUCUAUUGGAGGUGGGCAGGAAAGAGAAAAAUUGUUGUGUUUUUUUUUUCUAAGAUGUCUUCAGUAACUAGAAAUGUACCCUGGAAGGAGUCAUCCUGAUGGACAGUGUGAUGGCUCUUUUGUCACUUAUACUGCAGUUUCAAGUCUGGAAGCAACCGGCUAUCUCUGGUGGUCCUGCGUUCUCGGCUACUGACAGGAUUGGUCAUACAAAUGGCAACAGUACGUCAGAGCUUUGAAAUGGCUCAGUGGCAGCUGAGGCUGAGAAGCAAAACUGCUGUUAUUACUCCUAUGAGAAAGAAUGGAAGAUUGAUUUUAAUGACAACUUUGUCAGUGUUUAGCAAUGCUGUUUUUAAGCAGCUUAAAACAUAAUUUCCAAUUUCAACGACGUUCAGCCUUUCCUUUCCACAAAGGCUUAUAGUAGACCAGUGGUAUGCAACUGGCAUGAGCCAGAGCCAACAGAUGCCUGUAUUAAGGUGGUACCACCUGGGCUGAAGCCCAUGGAAAACUCAAAAUAUUCAUUUAAGAGUUUGCAGUGCUGUUUAUAACCAAACAUGGACAAGUAGUGUAAAUGAAUCUGUAGCGGUGACUCCAAUGGACAGCUGCAGAACUACAGAAAUGGAGCUGGGAGCAGGAUGUAGCUCACAGAGCUAACAGAAUAGUAAAGAGAAAGAAAGAAGACAAAUGGUAAUUAAAAAAAACUCUGGAGAAUGCUGAUAAACCUGAUUUGACACCACUAGUGCUUCAGGACUAAGGGUAUGAAACAGGACAAUACAAAAAAAUCCAGCUUUGAAUACUCUUGCUUUACAACAAGAAAUACCAUUUGGUCUAUAGAUAAGAAGUAGGAAUAAAAAUCUGCCUUAAAACUGCUUGAGAGAAGGAAAAGAAUUGUUUGUUAUUUUAUACCAAUCUGUCUUUUGUGCUAAUGUCUUCAAUACCAGUGCUUAAUUCUCUGAACUCACAUUUGUUCUAAUGUGGUGUAGCAGAAAUGCUAAGUCACAGCCUGAACCUGUGAUUGAGCACCUGGUGGAAGGCAGGGCCAACCCAGGGGAGCUCAGGUGCAUGCAAUGUACUUGAGUGAGCAGAAGGGGUGUAGCCAGGAUCCACCCCUUCCCAAACCUCAUUUAAGGGUUGGCAGUGGAGGCAAGGAUUUCUUGCUGGAGGUUCCUGCCUACCAGAGGCCUUCUGAAAGUAAGCAAUUUUUCUUCCUUUGUUUUUGCAUCUAUGGCUGCGACGUCUGGGCUUGUUCAUAUUUGCUGCCGUCUGGGAUUGUGCUGCUUCACUCUUACUGCUGUUCUUUCCAUCAUAUUACAGCAUUACAUCUGGUUUCAUUAUCUAAUACAUUGUUACCUAGUUGGAAAAAGUGUGUACUCCGAAUAAUGUUUCUUUCUCUAUUAUUGUGUGAUUAUUAA
ensembl:lncRNA